rnacentral:lncRNA from 1 species
CCCAAACACAGCACACAAGCAAAACUGCGAGUACGUGUACCCACACUGCACGACACACAGCCACACAGGUGUUGCGUCUCAGAGGCAGUAAACUGCUAGCUUCAGCCCAAACACAGCACACAAGCAAAACUGCGAGUACGUGUACCCACACUGCACGACACACAGCCACACAGGUGUUGCGUCUCAGAGGCAGUAAACUGCUAGCUUCAGCCCAAACACAGCACACAAGCAAAACUGCGAGUACGUGUACCCACACUGCACGACACACAGCCACACAGGUGUUGCGUCUCAGAGGCAGUAAACUGCUAGCUUCAGCCAAAACACAGCACACAAGCAAAACUGCGAGUAC